rnacentral:rRNA from 1 species
UACGAAGGGGGGCUAGCGUUGCUCGGAAUUACUGGGCGUAAAGCGCACGUAGGCGGCCAACUAAGUCGGACGUGAAAUCCCCAGGCUCAACCUGGGAACUGCGUCCGAUACUGGAUGGCUUGAAUUCGGGAGAGGGAUGCAGAAUUCCAGGUGUAGCGGUGAAAUGCGUAGAUAUCUGGAGGAAUACCGGUGGCGAAGGCGGCAUCCUGGACCGACAUUGACGCUGAUGAGCGAAAGCUAGGGGAGCAAACGGG